AGCCGACUGGGGAGAUGGGACUAAAACAAUUUGCAAUGUUUAGUCUGUGGUUUUGUGACAACCUAGUGAUGUUAAGAGAAAAUUAAAUACUCGAUAAAAUAGCUUAUUUGAAAAGAUUACAAGCGAAGGCGUCUAGAUUUGGGCUUCUCCUGCAACAUUAAACAUGAGGAUUCACUGUCCAAAUAUGGGUUCCGCAUAUAAGACUCCGAAUUGCAUUUGGUUCCGCUUUCCGACACAGUUAUCUUCUUGGGCGUGGAUUAAAUGAAGAUCUGGGUGUUGAAAGACAUUUACAUAAGUGCUGUUUGUGAACAGGAAGGCCAGUUCUUCUAUUAUCGCCAGAACAUUUAAAUCUUAAUGACUGGCAUUGUUGUCUAAAAGACGGUGUUUUUCCUGCUGAGAAACUGCAUUAGAUUCAAGAAACGAAGCUCAUUUCCAUUCUCUCAGCAGUCUUCUCUAGAAAUGACAUGCAGUGCUUGAAACUGUUUAUUUCCAAAUUCAGGCCUCCCUCGCAUCAGUCAUCAGCUUCAAUUACCAGUUUUCCGGAGCCGAGCCAUCAGGCAGUCUGACACC
rnacentral:lncRNA from 1 species